GGACUGGUCGGAGUACUCUUAAUGAGAACAUAUAGCUUAAGGCUACUUGUGUUUGGCUUUUUAAGGAAGGGUCAGCCCCUUCUAUAAACAUAAUAUCUCCCUAAGGCCAUCCACGUUCAUUUCAAAGAAAUCCUGGCUGGCUAUAUUUUAUAUAGUUCUGAGAGAUAGAUACAAAAAUGUAAACUAAAACCAUUACUCCAUUUCCAACUGGUCUGAAGUAAUCCAGUAUGCUGGGAACAGAAUAGGAGAGUGAGUUGGCAAAAGCUGAUGACUGUUACACCAAAGAUAAUCUUUUCCACUUCUGGAGGAGUAUAAAUCCCUAAGGAUAACAGCAUGGCUUUCAAGUCCUUUAAAGUGUGGAGAGAUGUAUCCACUGAGUACACAAAGAGCUUGUGACUGUCAAAGGGGAGGUCUUCAACAGUACGCCGGACUUCUCUGGUGAAGCCUGACAGCUGCUCCUAAGACACUCUUCUCAUGACCACUGCAGUGGAUAUAGACCAUGUUACCAUAUCAGCAGCAUCCAAGGAGGCCUGGAGCAAUGUCUUUGCCAAUAGCUGACCCUCUAGUACCAUGGCCUUAAAUUGUUCAUGACAUUCCUCUGACAAGUGCUCAAUAAAUGAAUUAAAUUUGUU